AUUGAACGCUGGCGGCAGGCCUAACACAUGCAAGUCGAGCGGAUGAAGGGAGCUUGCUCCUGGAUUCAGCGGCGGACGGGUGAGUAAUGCCUAGGAAUCUGCCUGGUAGUGGGGGAUAACGUCCGGAAACGGGCGCUAAUACCGCAUACGUCCUGAGGGAGAAAGUGGGGGAUCUUCGGACCUCGCGCUAUCAGAUGAGCCUAGGUCGGAUUAGCUAGUUGGUGGGGUAAAGGCCUACCAAGGCGACGAUCCGUAACUGGUCUGAGAGGAUGAUCAGUCACACUGGAACUGAGACACGGCCCAGACUCCUACGGGAGGCAGCAGUGGGGAAUAUUGGACAAAGGGGGAAAGCCUGAUCCAGCCAUGCCGCGUGUGUGAAGAAGGUCUUCGGAUUGUAAAGCACUUUUAGUUGGGAGGAAGGCCAGUAAGUUAAUACCUUGCUGUUUUGACGUUACCAAAAGAAUAAGCACCGGCUAACUUCGUG
rnacentral:rRNA from 1 species